UGGUUAAGAUGGACUUUUAGCAAGGAUUCCAAAUUUCAUAAACCUUGUAAAAAGAUAAAAGUGUAGCAUGGUGAUGCUAUUCUUUGCUGGGUACAAGAGAACAUCUUACAGACUUUAAAGUGUUAAUACAGUUUUCAAAACAGAAUGGAGGAACCAGGCCAGAGGCCUAGUCACCCUGACCACUCUUCCCAGAAAAAACCCAAUCUGGGAUCUCAGGAUUUCUCUAAGGGCAGCAGGAGAAUCCUGGAUGAACAACACGUGUGCCCUGGCAUUCUGCCCCCACCUCCAUCCUAGUCCAUAAAGGGUCUGGCUCACUCCACGUGUGGGUCAAGCCCCACGCCUUGUGAAAGACUCCCUUCUCUCCCAGCUCAGAGGAGCUGUGGAGUGGCCCCCAGAGUCCAUCUGAGAGUCUGAAGGCUUAUUUGCAGCAAAGCAGGCUUCUGGAGCUGAAUUUGGGGCUCCAAUCUGACAUCUGUUAAGGAGGGACUGCUGAGAGAAUACUAGCAAACAAGAGGGAUGCUAUAUUAUCCAUCAUGUACUUAUGAAUAUGGACCUCAAGUGCUCUAAGGUUGUGAUCGUGCUUUGCUGUUGAUACCCACAAGUGCAAGACUUUCAUAGAGCAUGCAGGUGAGAAAACUGAGGUAUGAGGAAAUUAAAUAGCUUACAUGGUACAUAGUUGGUAAUUGCUAUAAGUGAAACAGUUCAAAUUGGUUUCAAACUCAACCAGACUUCAAGAUCACAGUGGACAUGGCACCUGAAAUGUAAAGAUGAGGGGGAGCCAUGAUGACAGCUGAUCCCUCCCCUGGAAUUUGAAGUCCUUGCUAAUGACAUGACUGUAAUUCUCAGAUCUGUCAACAAGGAUCUGACAUGCUUUUUCAGUCCAGUAGGGUAAUGUGAGUUAUAUUCAUAUGUGUUUUCAGAACUUUAUACCUAUUUUGAAGUAACUCUGUUCUGUUGGGGUAUGAACACCAAGGACCAUUCAGUGGGUCCCAAAUGAUUUGGAGAAAGAGCUAGUUCAUGUUAGAAAGUGAGGGGAAAAGUGACAUUUUUUAUGCAGAUACUAAAUAACUUAACAACUUAGGGAUACAAUAUUACAAGAAAUACAGUCUAAUUAAACAUAUCCCAAAUGUCCUCCUGCCUUCACAAGACCAGCACAUGGUCUUAGUCUUACAAAAUAGCUGUGUUAACUCCUGUCUCCUCUUUCAUUUUAGGAAGUCAAUUAGCUUUGAGUUUGGCUAAGAAGCAUCACUCUCUUCUCUAUUUUCUCCCUCCUCCCUUCCUUAUGUCAGAAAAUAUCUAAUAUUUUCUAUUUACCAUUACAUUAAAGAAAUGCUGAUGUAUUUUCAGAGAUUCAGUCUUCAAAACCAAUGUACCACAACCAAAGGAACUAAUGGUUUUAAGUCAGAUUUUUAAAGAUAAUUUUAAAGUCAAUAAAAUUAAUCCAUUAAAACCAA